rnacentral:rRNA from 1 species
UACAGAGGGUGCGAGCGUUAAUCGGAAUUACUGGGCGUAAAGCGUGCGUAGACGGUCAUGUAAGUCGGGUGUGAAAGCCCCGGGCUCAACCUGGGAAUUGCAUUCGAGACUGCAUGGCUAGGAUGCGGAAGAGGGAAGCGGAAUUUCCGGUGUAGCGGUGAAAUGCGUAGAUAUCGGAAGGAACACCAGUGGCGAAAGCGGCUUCCUGGUCCAGCAUCGACGUCAGGCACGAAAGCGUGGGGGAGCAAACAGG